GACGAACGCUGGCGGCGUGCUUAACACAUGCAAGUCGAACGGAAAGGCCCUGCUUUUGUGGGGUGCUCGAGUGGCGAACGGGUGAGUAACACGUGAGUAACCUGCCCUUGACUUUGGGAUAACUUCAGGAAACUGGGGCUAAUACCGGAUAGGAGCUCCUGCUGCAUGGUGGGGGUUGGAAAGUGUCGGCGGUUGGGGAUGGACUCGCGGCUUAUCAGCUUGUUGGUGGGGUAGUGGCUUACCACGGCUUUGACGGGUAGCCGGCCUGAGAGGGUGACCGGCGACCAUGGUACUGCGAUACGCCCCAGUCUGCAACGGGAGGCAGCGGUCGCGAGUAUUGCCCAGCGGGGCGAAGCGUGAUGCGGCGGCGCCGGGGGCGGGAUGUCGGCUUUCGGGUUGUAAACCGCUUUCGCAUGUUACGCAGCGUGAAUGACGGUAAUGGGUGAAGAAGCACCGGCUAACUACGUG
rnacentral:rRNA from 1 species